rnacentral:misc_RNA from 1 species
GAUGAACAAUGGCUCUCUACCCUGUGGCAAAGGAAGCUGCACAAGAAUACCGUGGAUUGAUGCAUCCUUGUUAUAAUUUGACAAUGCAUCACAGACAGCGUCUUCUGUACAGCUCUCAGGGAGUUCAGCAAUUGAAAAUCUGAACCCAACCUCAUGGCAAGCCAUUAUUUUGUUACGGACAUAGGCAAGAGAAUCUCGCCUUUGGCCAACCAAUAUUACAGCCAAACCAGGGACCUUUCCUAUUGACUCCUUCAUCCUGCUAAC